rnacentral:rRNA from 1 species
CAGUCGCCGCGGGAAUACGAAGGGUGCAAGCGUUACUCGGAAUUACUGGGCGUAAAGCGUGCGUAGGCGGCUUUUUAAGUCGGAUGUGAAAUCCCUGAGCUUAACUUAGGAAUUGCAUUCGAUACUGGGAAGCUAGAGUAUGGGAGAGGAUGGUAGAAUUCCAGGUGUAGCGGUGAAAUGCGUAGAGAUCUGGAGGAAUACCGAUGGCGAAGGCAGCCAUCUGGCCUAAUACUGACGCUGAGGUACGAAAGCAUGGGGAGCAAACAGGAUUAGAUACCCCUGUAGUCCCUGUCUCUUAUAC